rnacentral:rRNA from 1 species
AUUGAACGCUGGCGGCAUGCCUUACACAUGCAAGUCGAACGGUAACGGGCCUUCGGGUGCCGACGAGUGGCGAACGGGUGAGUAAUGCAUCGGAACGUACCUUUCAGUGGGGGAUAACGUAGCGAAAGUUACGCUAAUACCGCAUAUUCUGUGAGCAGGAAAGCAGGGGAUCGCAAGACCUUGCGCUGAUUGAGCGGCCGAUGUCAGAUUAGCUAGUUGGUGAGGUAAAGGCUCACCAAGGCGACGAUCUGUAGCGGGUCUGAGAGGAUGAUCCGCCACACUGGAACUGAGACACGGUCCAGACUCCUACGGGAGGCAGCAGUGGGGAAUUUUGGACAAUGGGGGCAACCCUGAUCCAGCCAUGCCGCGUGAGUGAAGAAGGCCUUCGGUUGUAAGACUCUUCGGUCCGGGAGAAAGUACGCAUGGUUAAGUACCUCGUUGCGGAGUGACGGUACCGGCCGACUAAGAAGGACACCGGCCGUAACCUAACCGUUGACCACGCAGCCGACC